CGCGCAAGAUGUUCGGCCCCUCUUAUGCUUCCUCUGAAUGACGCGUUCAUUCCUCCACGUUUCUCGAAGGCCAGCGUUCAGUACACAAGUGCCAGUGUCAAUCAGGGCCGGACGAGCGCCACAGUCAACUGUUCCAAAAGGCUCUCACUACUAAUGCUCUCGAUCAGUUGAGGAAACAACAGUAACAUCGUAGACUGGAGCAGUUUCAUCCAACGGGUGUUAGUAGACGCAACGAGGUCUGCGAAAGGGCAUGGUUUAUUAGGGACAAGAAACGCCGAAACCAGGACUCAACGGCCGCUGCAAGCUUGAGCGGCCCAUCCAGUAACGAAACUAAGGCAUCGACGGCGUGCGCUCAAGCCAGUGCCUCACCGCCGCCAACGCGCCGUGGUCACGAGCAGAGCGAGGACCACAUCCGCACCCAGGAAGUGCAACCACAGCACGAUGAUAUCUCGAGUUCGAACAAUAGCCCCGAGCUCUGUGUCAACACUCACCACGACAACGCUGGACUUGCGGAUAAAGGAUUCCCCGAAUGUCGUCUUCGCAUGGAUCCGAAUAUUCCUCGGUCACGCUUAUCUGUUCGGGAUGGGAGCGUUCGGCGUGCUUAUCCUGCCGGUGCUCGUGUUAAGCCAACGUGCGCGCGAAAUGUUCUUCGCCUUCGUCUACAUGCUGAUUCAGCGCCUGUGGUACAACGACUACGGCUCUGUGCGGCGCGCCGUGAUGACCGGACUCGACGACCUCGAGUCCCACGACAGCGGUCUCCGAGAACGCCACGUCGUUCGUGUCCUCGAAGUGGGUGCCGCUUACGGACCGAACCUGCCCUACGUGCGUCGCAGCGUAGAGUACUGGAGGUUGGAGCCAAACGUGAGCUUCGACGAAGGUUUUCAACAAAACCUGGAUGCUAACAAAAAGUUGAAACUGCAACAUCUUUUUUUUUCUUUUCAUUUUGGCGCGGGAGCUCAACCAGUCCAGUACUGGAAACAUAGAAGACUUGUAUGCUUUUAAUUACAUGGAGGAGGUGAACAGCACUCAACUACAGCGCAGUUUGUGAUAAAUGCUUCACAAAGGUCGAAUUGGUGCGUACUAUUCGCGGACACGGCGAAGACAUGAACAUGCUGCCGGACGGCCACUUCGAUGCCGUGGUGAUCACGUACGUGCUGUGCACGGCCAUCGAUGGCAAGAAAAUCAUCAGCGAAUGCAGGCGUGUGCUGAGAAAGGGAGGUCGCCUUCUCUUCGCCGAACACGUUGGCCACAAAAAAGGCACGUUCUCUAGGUUUAUGCAGGACCUGCUGGCACCACUCGCCCAGUAUAUGACCGGCGGCUGCUACAUGAACAGAGACAGUGGUCGCAUUUUCAAGGAGGCCGGCUUCGAGACGAUCCAACUGGAGGAAGUCGAUCUGUACCUGCCUUUUGAGUACAGCUUCCACGUCUACGGCGUGGCGAUUGCCUAAAUACCCGCCUGAAUGGACAGUGUAUUCACAAAAAGAUGACUUUAGAUAUUGAUGAUAGGUUACGCUAUGAGCGCAUCCUUCUCGUCGAGACGCGAAUAAAUUUUCAGCACUUUGCAAUAUAUAAAACGCCUUUAGAUAUUU